UUCCUACUAUCUCUGAGUGAAUUAAAAGAUCUGGUUUUGUUCAAUGUUUUAUAGGGUGGGGGGAGAGUAGCUGUGUUGAUUUGACGUUGCUGUUCCUACAUGUAGAUCUUGUUUUUGCUUGCUUGUCGGGUUUAAACAUUGAGACAUAAUAAUUACAGGAACAGCAGUUUCUUCAAAUGCUGAGAGAUGCUGGGAGCAAAGAGAUGAAGAAGCAUUUGGUGAGACAGAAAUACUUGGCUCCAUUGAUUGAGCGCUAUGAAAAUGCUUUGCAAGCGUUUCAGCAGGUUCUUAAGGAUGAAAAGAGGAAGGAACGUCCGUGAAUUAAAGAAACAAGAAGAUUGGAAAUUAUCUGGACGAAGAAAAUCCACUGACCACUUGAGUUUAUGAAGGAACCUCAACUGGAAAUCUCUGAUAUUGCUUUUCAAACAAAUAUGUUUAUAUACAAAUGAUGUAUAUUACAGGCAGCCAACAAUUGUAAUGGACAGUUUGUAUUCUGGGGUCAAUGGACAGUGUGUGAUGAUGUAAUGUCAGCAUUCAUACCUGUACUGCAACAAGUUAUUGAUGUUACUACUGCUUGUAAUGUUAAUCGUGGAUUUCAUAGCUGGUCUGUGAAACUGUCCAGAACCUUGACACAAUAUUGGUCAUUAGCCAGUGCUGAGCUAGCAACCUAUAACCCACAGUGCCACAUCUUUGAAUGACAUUACUGAAAUUCCUUCACAGCCAGCAUCAAGGAACUGGGACUCAGGUUUGUUUUCUUAGAUGGGAUUACUGUGAUACAGCAGCAUUUGUAGCCAGAUAUACCAUGGACUGUUCACGCAUUGUUUGAAGCUCACUGGUGUGUUUUCCACUGGUGAAUGUCUAUAAGAGGAGGAGAAAAUCAUGCAGAAACAAUGGAAGGGACCGGAAGAGAAAGUAUGACCGUCCUUAAAAUAUAAAGGCACCAUAAAACUGCAGCCACCACUGAAAAGGAAAGCAAAGUUGAUACUUGCACCAAAGGAGCUUUUCGAAGUCAAUAACAAAGGAACUAAGUACCUUACAGAACUCCAUCUGGAUGAGUGUAUUACAAUCCCUGUAUCCUGUCCCACUGUGGGAAUCAUCAUAGAAACCCAUUCCUGUUCUCGGUUAACAUGCACUGAAGAAACAUGUGUAUUGUGGUAGCGGUCAAGAACAGGAAUCUCGACCAGAUUACUAAUCAAUGGCGUUCAUGUCAAUCAUGUACAAUCAACCCAGAUAUAACUUUUAAAAAAUAAAAUAUUUUCAAACGAA